rnacentral:misc_RNA from 1 species
AAACCUUCAAAAGGGAAGCUUUUGUGGCUUCUUCCUUUUGGAAUUGGAGUGUGCUGGCCUUUUCAAAAGCCCAGCUCCUCUGAAAUGCAUUAGCGAUGUGACAUCCUCGUGCCAUCACGCUUCUCCAGCAUUGAUAAGUCUCUUUCAUGCUCGAGUGUGUCGCGCUUAGGAGGAAAGUUUUGCUCGCUCACAGACCCAUUGGGGGCUUCGCCCCUAAUGAUGCUUUGACCA